rnacentral:rRNA from 1 species
UACGAAGGGGGCUAGCGUUGCUCGGAAUCACUGGGCGUAAAGGGUGCGUAGGCGGGUCUUUAAGUCAGGGGUGAAAUCCUGGAGCUCAACUCCAGAACUGCCUUUGAUACUGAGGAUCUUGAGUUCGGGAGAGGUGAGUGGAACUGCGAGUGUAGAGGUGAAAUUCGUAGAUAUUCGCAAGAACACCAGUGGCGAAGGCGGCUCACUGGCCCGAUACUGACGCUGAGGCACGGAAAGCGUGGGGAGCAAACAGGG